AGUGAACUGAGGAAGACCUUCUGCUUGUGGUGUAGAAACUGUCCAUGCGAAACCAUUUGUCCUUGUCACCAGCUGCCUGCACUCACCAUUGGCCAGAUUGAUUUCAGGAUGUUUAUGUGAUUCUAAAUACCACUCUCAGCUCACAAGAAUGGAAUCAGCUGUGGCAAGCAGCUUGAGAAGAAGCUGAUCACAGACAUAAGGUAAACACCACUGAUAAUGACCCUGGGCCUAUAGCUGUGCCAGAGCAGGACAAGCAUACUAAGUAUAUCAAACUUUUAAAA